rnacentral:rRNA from 1 species
GUAUAAGAGACAGCAGCCGCCGCGGGAAUACGUAGGUGGCAAGCGUUGUCCGGAAUUAUUGGGCGUAAAGGGCUCGCAGGCGGUUUCUUAAGUCUGAUGUGAAAGCCCCCGGCUCAACCGGGGAGGGUCAUUGGAAACUGGGAAACUUGAGUGCAGAAGAGGAGAGUGGAAUUCCACGUGUAGCGGUGAAAUGCGUAGAGAUGUGGAGGAACACCAGUGGCGAAGGCGACUCUCUGGUCUGUAACUGACGCUGAGGAGCGAAAGCGUGGGAAGCGAACAGGAUUAGAUACCCCCGUAGUCCCUGUCUCUUAUAC